rnacentral:rRNA from 1 species
UACAGAGGUGGCAAGCGUUGUUCGGAAUUACUGGGCGUAAAGGGCGCGUAGGCGGCCUUCUAAGUCAUACGUGAAAUCCCUCAGCUUAACUGGGGAACUGCGUGUGAUACUGGAUGGCUUGGAUUUGGGAGAGGGAUGCGGAAUUCCAGGUGUAGCGGUGAAAUGCGUAGAUAUCUGGAGGAACACCGGUGGCGAAGGCGGCAUCCUGGACCAAUAUUGACGCUGAGGAGCGAAAGCCAGGGGAGCAAACGGG